rnacentral:rRNA from 1 species
UACGUAGGGUGCAAGCGUUAAUCGGAAUUACUGGGCGUAAAGCGUGCGCAGGCGGUGAUGUAAGACAGAUGUGAAAUCCCCGGGCUCAACCUAGGAACUGCGUCCGAUACUGGCAGGCUUGAAUCCGGGAGAGGGAUGCGGAAUUCCAGGUGUAGCGGUGAAAUGCGUAGAUAUCUGGAGGAACACCGGUGGCGAAGGCGGCAUCCUGGACCGGCAUUGACGCUGAGGCGCGAAAGCCAGGGGAGCAAACGGG